CUCGUAGGCGGUCUGUCGCGUCGGAUGUGAAAAUCCAGGGCUCAACCCUGGACCUGCAUUCGAUACGGGCAGACUAGAGUACGGCAGGGGAGACUGGAAUUCCUGGUGUAGCGGUGAAAUGCGCAGAUAUCAGGAGGAACACCGGUGGCGAAGGCGGGUCUCUGGGCCGAAACUGACGCUGAGGAGCGAAAGCGUGGGAGCAAACA
rnacentral:rRNA from 1 species